rnacentral:rRNA from 1 species
AUUAGAUACCCUAGGUAGUCCACGCAGUAAACGAUGAAUGUCAGCUGUCCGGGACUUCGGUCCUGGGUGGCACAGCGAAAGCGUUAAACAUUCCACCUGGGGAGUACGCCGGCGACGGUGAAACUCAAAGGAAUUGACGGGGGCCCGCACAAGCGGAGGAACAUGUGGUUUAAUUCGAUGAUACGCGAGGAACCUUACCCGGGCUCAAACGUGACUGGAAUGUCCGCGAAAGCGGGCAGCCCUUCGGGGCCGGUCACGAGGUGCUGCAUGGUUGUCGUCAGCUCGUGCCGUGAGGUGUCGGCUUAAGUGCCAUAACGAGCGCAACCCCUACCGACAGUUGCUAACAAGCGAAGUUGAGGACUCUGUCGGGACUGCCGGCGCAAGCUGCGAGGAAGGCGGGGAUGACGUCAAAUCAGCACGGCCCUUACGUCCGGGGCGACACACGUGUUACAAUGGCGGGUACAGCGGGAGGCCAUGCGGCGACGCAGAGCGGAACCCGAAAACCCGUCUCAGUUCGGAUUGGAGUCUGCAACCCGACUCCAUGAAGCUGGAUUCGCUAGUAAUCGCGCAUCAGCCACGGCGCGGUGAAUACGUUCCCGGGCCUUGUACACACCGCCCGUCAAGCCAUGGGAGCCGGGAGUGCCUGAAGUGCGUGAGCGCGAGCAGCGCCCUAGGGUAAAACCGGUGACUGGGGCUAAGUCGUAACAAGGUACC